AUAAAACGCUACAACAAAACAUAAGAAAGAAGAAAAAGAAGAGCCGAAAGGGACAAUAGUGAUGGCGGCGCCACGGACAGAGACCAAAAAAAAUCUUGACACUAUUUACCCAGAGGAACAACGGGGGUUUCGUGAUGCCGAAAGAAAA
ensembl:ncRNA T09E8.6 ncRNA